UUCAAAACCCAUUCAAGCAAUUUCUCUGCUUUAACUCAAACAAUUUGCAAUUGUUUGUAGAGUUUUGCAUUGCAAAAGGUUUUUGCAAUGUUUGCUUUUCUCUGCAAUCUCUCCUGACCUGCUUGGGAACAUACGAAUUGGAGCACUCCUGAUCUCUGUCCUGUGCCAGCACCCUUCCUUGGAACACAACAAGACCUGAAUGUUUCUUAAGUAAAUAUAAAAACUGUCUUUUUACUUUCUUUCUAAUCUCUUUCACAUCUCUUUGGAAAGCAAGACAGCGCCCAAUGCUGGAUUCCAAAGGAGAUGAGAGUGCACACAGUACAGGUUUCUGCACUGUCUGUGAACUGUCAGCUUUCCUCAGCUCAGUACUGUGAAGAGAUGUCAUGCUGCCCAGGCAGGGGUGGAGGAAGGAGAGGUGCUUGUUAAUGCAACCUCCCAAGAGGUCAUGUUUCUCUGAUGGAAAAUGCAGGAGAGAAAAUGCAGGAGAUCUGCUCUGCAGGCACCCUCUUUUCAUUUUUAUCAAACGAAAACAGAAUCAAUGUCUGCUGCUGCUCUCCUGCCCCUGCAAGGUUUGGUUUAUAUUCCCAGGAACACAAUGCUAAGGAAGAGAGGACUGGUGGCCUCAGGACAUCCAGCUUCAUUUCAUGGUUGGGCCAGACUUGCUGAGGGAGAACUCAGUACGGUGGGACCUGUCUAUCUCAUGAUGCACAGAACUUUUUUCCAUGCUGCCAGUGUAGGAAAGUGGUCUCUGCUUGGCUGAGAGAGGCUGGGGUCAAGCACACAAACUCAUUGCUUUUCCAAGGACACACCAAGAACUUGUGGUAGAAGUGGGAACAAAAAAGUCCUAUCUGAUUCAGUGCUUCAUCCGCACAAACAUAGUUUAUCAAUACAGAUAGCUUCAGAUGAAAGAUACAUCAAAGCAUAUUUUUGGCAGCUGCUUUCAGAAGUAGUACUAAAUCUCCUGGGGGAAUGCAAGCAGUGAGAUAUGAUCCAAGUAUCAAAAUCCCCAUCUUCUUAAUCUCUCUCCUCCUCUCUCACACUGGUGGAGUUCACAGGAAAGCCCUUCCUUGAGGUUAUGUCAUCAGUAUUCCCAUCAGUAGGUUUUGGUUCCUAAAUGCAUUUUUGCGCUUUUCCAACAAAAUGGUGCCUGUUUCAACACUAACUCUGAAGAUUCGGAAAUUGGCAAAGGAUACAAAAAGAAUAAUGAACCAGCAGUUACUGUUUACAUUGGCCACCUUGUAUAAAUGCUGAUACUAGCAUUUCUGAAAGGAUUCAUUCAUCACUGAAAAAAAGGUUUGUACCUGUGAAUACGAUCUUGCCUGGGAGGGCCUGUGUGCUUCCUCUCCUCUAUCAACAAAGCCUACAAACAUGAAGGGAUGGUUUUGCAAUGGAUAUUAAUGUAUACCUAUUAUUUCAGGAUGACAAUAAGCCAUUGAAUAUAUUCCAUGCAGCAGUAAAUGAAUGAAAGAAGCAGUAAAUUUAAAGAAAAAUUGCAUUUA